rnacentral:rRNA from 1 species
AGCGUACCGGAAGGUGUGCUUGGAAA